AUUUUGCAUAAUAAGCCAAAUUAUAACUGCAUUUAGGAUUUGAGUUCCAGAAGUCACUCAAGACCCUCCCUUCUCCUGAGCCGGUUUCCCCGACUCACGACGGCACCUGCGUGUUUCGGUACGUCUUUUCUCUUUCCUCUCUGUCUCUGUCUCUCUCUAAAACCAGAAGGCUAUAAAAACCAUAUCGAAAUCGCCGGUGAGCUCGUCUUUUCGAUUCAUAAAAUUACUACGCUUUUCUCUUUUAAUUGUUUAUUUAUGGAACGCAUCUAUUUGCGAAAUUUCACAGUUUAGGCGUUGUUAGAAUUGUAAUUCAAGGCUUGUUCGAAAUUUCAGUUCCGAAUUUGCUUGAAAUUUUGGGCUAGAUAGUGUGAUUCGAUAUCUAUUUAUUAUUGUGAUUUGAGAUGUAGAUCAUAAACCAUAAACCAAACGAUUAAGAAACCAAUCAUCGUGUAUUCUUUUGUGUACUUACUAUUGUGCAGCAGAGAAAGCCCCUUCAAAUUUGAAUCUUUGAUUUGUUUAUUUCCUUUCUUUCUGGAACUCGAAUGGCACAAUCCGAUUGCAAACAGAGCAGUGAUGAGCAGCAAAUUUCAAUAUCUUCCGCGGGGUUUGGUGGUGGCCAUUCUCUCAAGGAUAGUCUGCUUCAAGACCGUCUUGAACUGCAAGUGCGUUUGCAAAGAGUGGCUUUCUAUUAUUUCUGACCCUCAAUUUGCUCGUCUCCAUCUUCCGAGAUCACCCAUUGGGAUCUUGAUGAAGGUUUGGCGAUCUUAUUCGUCAGUGAAAAAACUUUAUUUGGCCCAGAUAGUAGAGACUGCUGCUGGUUCUGAUUUUGGGGUUGAAAAAAUGAUUUUCACUGCCAAAAAUAGCCUGCCCAAUUUCGAGUUCGAGUUUAUAAACUCUUGUGAUGGUUUACUUUGUUUGUAUGGACCGGAAACUGAUGGUAUGUAUGUGUGCAACCCUGUGUUGGGUGAGUGGAUCUCAAUUCCACCUAACAAUAAUGGUAGGCGUCGCUGCGGUUUUAUCGCACUUGGUUAUAACAUUGGGACCAAUGAGUACAAGGUCUUGCAAACAACCUCAUCUAACAACGAAUUCUAUGGUGAGCGUGAGGCUGAGAUAUACACCCUUGGCACAGGAGUUUGGAGAAGCAUUGGAAGUGUUCCUCAAACUAUACUUAAGAGAAAUAGAGACGAAGCAAUUCAGUUACCGUUUGACGCUUUUCUGCACGGAGCUCAACAUUGGGCUCCGUAUGACUUGUCAGAGUUUUCUAUAUAUGCUUUCAAUUUUGAAAGCGAACAAUUUCGAUCACUACCCGCACCUACACUCUCACCUGGGCUCGUGGAAGCAAUGCAUGAGUGGUAUUCAGAUUAUUUACAGUUGGGACAGUUAGGAGGUUGUCUCCUUCUAUGUGUGCAUGGUAAACCGUCUACCCAAUUAGAGUUCUGGGUUAUGAAGGAAUAUGGGGUCCAACAGUCAUGGACUCAAAUUCUUGUCAUUGAGAACUUGUCCCCAAGAUGUUUCGGGUACAUGCCAAUUAUGUUUUUGAGUAAUGGAGAAAUCCUAAUAGCAUACGUGGAAGAGCAAAACAACUGUAGUGGCAGCCGGCUUGUUGGUUGUUACAAUCUAGAAGCAAAAACUUUCAGGCGAACUAUAGUUACUAAUCGCACCCAAUUUUUUUUUCAUGCAAUUGCUUACAGUCCAUCCUUUGUUUCACUGUACGAUGUUGCAAAAGGAGAAGCUGAAAGGUACUUAAAUUACACUUAAGAUAUGCUUCUCUUCUAUUGUUUUUAUAUUCCCUUUUUUAUUUAUGGAAGCUGAUGUUUUUGUAGGAGAAUACUAUUGAUAUAUUGCAUUUGUCAACUUACAUUUAUAUCUGUCUAUCUCCACAGAUACUACAUGUGAAAGUUUGUCCGACUCGGUUUUGUUACUUCAGCGAUGUGUUAACAGAUUUCUUUUUCUAAAUAUGACUUCUGCUUAUCAGUUUUUGCAUUUGUAUGUGUUUGCUGAACAGCAGAACAUGACAGAGCGUUUGACCUUCGUCGAUUGAAUUGCUUCUCGUUGCUAUAGGUAAGAGACAAGAA